rnacentral:rRNA from 1 species
GCGCAGUACGUGGCAGGAGCCGGGGUAAGACUUAGGGGGCAAGGUGUGGCCGGCUGCAUUGGGGUUGAGGUGCGUGUAGGCGGCCAGGUAGGUCGGUUGUGAAAACUGGAGGCUGAACCUUCAGAGGUCGACCGAAACCAUCUGGCUAGAGUCCGGGAGAGGAGAGUGGAAUUCCUGGUGUAGCGGUGAAAUGCGCAGAUAUCAGGAAGAACACCCGUGGCGAAAGCGGCUCUCUGGAACGGUACUGACGCUGAGACGCGAAAGCGUGGGGAGCGAACAGGAUUAGAUACCCCGGUAGUC